rnacentral:lncRNA from 1 species
CAAUGAGGUGUUAGCAACUUAUUUGUAAUCUUUUUUUUAUAAUAUCCAUUUAUGAUAAUCUAAAAAUUAUCAUGAGUCACUAAUACUUAAAUCUAUGAUGUUACGUGAUAUAUUUUGAAUUUUUUGUUGGACUUUCAAAUCUUUAGCCUAAUUGCUUAUCUAAUACUGCAAAUACAUGAAUAUGUGUAUAUGAUAACAGGCUCAAGACAAGGAGGAGGCAGCAAGGAAGCGAGGUAAAGAGCUCAAACAAAGAAGAAAAGGCUAGAUGAAAGAGCUUUGGUAUACGCAUUCAAUGGAAAAAUUCAGCUUGGAAGAGCUUGAAGUUUUGGAUGCUGGUACGAAGGCCUUGUGGAAUGAUGUUGCCGAACUUGCAAAGAAGCUAAAGAAGGAACAAGGUAACUCGAGUUCAGCUGAGGGUUCUCCAAGGGAUGACGGGAUGUUUUACUGAGAUCCAGCAAUGAAGGCCUUGAUUUCUCUCCCCAUGCAUAGUAUGCCCAGCAACCCAACUCAU